AGCGAACGCUGGCGGCAGGCUUAACACAUGCAAGUCGAGCGGGCCCUUCGGGGUCAGCGGCGGACGGGUGAGUAACGCGUGGGAACGUGCCUUCUGGUCUGGAAUAACCCUGGGAAACUAGGGCUAAUACCGGAUACGCCCUUUUGGGGAAAGGUUUACUGCCGGAAGAUCGGCCCGCGUCUGAUUAGCUAGUUGGUGGGGUAACGGCCUACCAAGGCGACGAUCAGUAGCUGGUCUGAGAGGAUGAUCAGCCACACUGGGACUGAGACACGGCCCAGACUCCUACGGGAGGCAGCAGUGGGGAAUAUUGGACAAUGGCGCAAGCCUGAUCCAGCCAUGCCGCGUGAGUGAUGAAGGCCUUAGGGUUGUAAAGCUCUUUUAUCCGGGACGAUAAUGACGGUACCGGAGGAAUAAGCCCCGGCUAACUUCGUG
rnacentral:rRNA from 1 species